rnacentral:rRNA from 1 species
CAUUUGCGGAUCAUGCAGAGGGACACACGCUGCUCUCUAAACACAAAUGACUCUUGGCAACAGAUAUUUUGGCUCUCGCAUUGAUGAAGAACAUAGCGAAAUGUGAUACAUGGUGUAGAUUGCAAAAUCCCGUGAAUCAUCGAGUAUUUGAACGCAAGGUGCACCCGAAGCCAUUUGGAUGGGAGCAUGUCUACCUGGGCGU